AUGUAUGUGAAGCAGAGAACGCUAUAAUUGCAAGAAUAUUUCUCCAUCUUACGCCUUUCAAAGAUAGCAGUCUGCUUUUCUAUAGAUCCACAGCUUCAAUCUCGAAGCCCUCUCACAAAUUCCACACAGUUUCCAACUUGUAACACCUCGAGAUUUCCUUCUCUCUCUCUCUCUCUGGAGGGGUAAGGAGCCUGUUCCUCUGCAAUUCUAUUGACUGAUUCAGCUACAUCCCAACCUAUCGAGAUAAAUCGUGAAGCUUGACGACAUGUUGUUGCCAAAAAGAUGGCAGAGCUGCAUGAUGCUUCUCAUCUUUGUCCUGUCGGAUGGUACAGGGACGACAAAACAGAGCAGAGCAGCUACUGCUGCUGUCUGCGGCAAGGAUCUGCAACCCAGGAGCAGAGUGCUGAUGGGCUUUGCGAGUCUAGCCGACACCAUGAGUGCAUCAGGUCUGGUGUUCUGUGUGGCGAAUCCCAGUGCUGACGCGAACGCACUGAGGAAUGGAUUGGAUUGGGCUUGCGGACCGGGCGCUGCAAACUGCACUGCGAUACAGCCAGGGCAGCCUUGCUAUGAACCCAAUAACCUGACUGCCUUGGCUUCCUAUGCCUACAAUGACUACUACCAAAGAACAAGAGCAAGCGGAGGAUCCUGCUCCUUCAACAACACGGCCAUGACGACCACCAGUGAUCCUAGUUGGACAGGUAAGACAAUGAUCUGCUAUCGAUCAAUGACCCAAGGAACUCAUAACACACACAGCAGAACUUCUUUCUAGUGUUUUGCUUGCAGUUCCAUUACAAGUGCUUUCCUCCUACAAAUCCUAAGCUAAUCGAUCGGGUUGUGCAGGCCAUGGCUCAUGCAUCUUCACUGGAAGUGCGGGAGGGACCACGAACACCAACACAACCACAAGCCCGAGUCCGACUACCACUCCGAGCAGCGGUGGAUCGCCCGGCAGUAACAAUUACGUCCCUCUUGGCUCAAACAUCGAUAGAGCUGCUUCCGCAUCGCGUGCUCUCCAAGUGGUGGCAUGUUUGCUCCCCUUGCUGUGCUCUUUCCGGUGCGGCAUGUAAACUUUGGUAUGAUUCAUGGUGACUUGACAGAAACAACAUGAACAAAAUGGGGAACGUCUUUUUCAUUCUGAAAACAUUUUUUUGGUUUUUCUGUAUAUCUUUCUUCAAAUAUGAUGUAUGUUACCACCUGCUGUGUGUUCAUGUUUCAUGUUUGUAGAACACUGGAGAGCUGAUCAGGUGAGGUGGAAGAAAAGGAUUGCUAUCUUGCUUGUUAAUGGAAGACAACCGUGAUGCUACCUCUGUCCAACGAGUGUUGGAGCCAUUACUGCUGCAGCCUUGUCCUUCUCAUCAACUUCGAUUCUUAUACUUAGUACAUAUCAAUAGAUUCUUACAUGUUAACUUCA